rnacentral:lncRNA from 1 species
AGAAAGGGCCCCGUGCGCAACGUGCUUCACAAUCUCUCAGGGAAAGCGGCUAACGUGGCGCUACUCCGCCUCCCCUGUUCCUUACCCUUGGGGCGGCCGCCAUGUUUCCUGAACACAAAAUGGCGACACGUGAGGAAGACAAACAUAAAGAUGAAGUGCUUAAUUCAAGGUCACACAAUGUCGGGGAUGGACCUCCAGAUUUCCUUACUGGUGAGACGUGGUCUUGUAACACAGUGGUUAAGAAUGUGACUUUGGAGCCAGCCUGCUAGGGGCUGAAUUCUGACUCAGCCAUUUACUAACUGUGUGACCUUAGGUCACAGAAUUUUCCACACUCCUUGACAGAGGUGCUUAACCCUUAUCCAUCAGCAUUCUCAGACAGCACCUCCGGUUAGGGACAGUAUCUGACCGUCCGACAUCCCUGCAGCCCCCAUGUGUCACACAGACUCAGCCUCAGGUAGAUGGUUUCCGUAGAUGGUGGCUUUCUUUGGACCCUUGACAUCAACCAGUUACUAUUUGGUCUAGGGGUCUCACCAACGCUGCUCAUCUAGCAGGGCCACACAUAACAAAUAGAAGCAGAGCAAGCCCUGGAACUCCUGCCUGACAGUGACACGACGACAGAAACAUCUUACCAGUCAGAGGACCAUGAGAAAUAGAUUCAAGGAGCAUUCCACGUGCAAGUGAGUCUUGGCCCCAUCUGCCUUUGGAUUUUAGCCGUGAACUGGAAGGUAUUGGAAAGAAGACCCUCAGAAAUAGCUUAAUCAAAAUCCCUGCGUCUGAACCAAGUGCCUUAUUUCUCUGUGGGCCUCAAGCUUCGCUGACAUCUGUGGAGCACACUGUCCUAACAGGAGUGCUGUCUGAUUUCCCAACGCUCUGCAAAACAAACAGCCUGGAAGGGUGGCUGGUGGAAGGUGGUUUUUAGAGAGAGACUUGUAGAUAACAGGAAAGUGAAGGCUGUAAGGAAGGUUGUAAUUAAACAGCACAUGGAAACACAA